AACGCACCUUGCGCCCCUUGGUAUUCCGAGGGGCAUGCCUGUUUGAGUGUCAUUAAAUUCUCAAACUCACUUUGGUUUUUUUUCCAAUUGUGAUGUUUGGAUUGUUGGGGGCUGCUGGCCUUGACAGGUCGGCUCCUCUUAAAUGCAUUAGCAGGACUUCUCAUUGCCUCUGCGCAUGAUGUGAUAAUUAUCACUCAUCAAUAGCACGCAUGAAUAGAGUCCAGCUCUCCAAUCGUCCGCAAGGACAAUUUGACAAUUUGACCUCAAAUCAGGUAGGACUACCCGCUGAACUUAA
rnacentral:misc_RNA from 2 species